GUGAGCAACAUGGUCUUCUCUAUAAGCUGGAUUUUUUGAUAGAUAUAACAACUCAUGAUUGAUUGUGUAAAUUUUACAGUCCAAAUUCCCCUUUCCCUCUCCACCUCUUCAACUUAAGAAAGAAGGUGAAAAUGUUUAGGAGCUGUUGUUUAUAAGUACAAUGCUCUUGCUUUAAAUUGGUACUCCUUUUCUCAGCCACCUAACAUAAACAAGGUUAAGUAUCAGAAUGCUGUGUAGUUCCUCUUCAUGGGUUAUUUUGGGGAGUUGAAUGAAUACAAAACAUGUGAACACAAUGACCACCUCAGGGGUUGAAGCAGCUUUAAAUAUAUUAUUUAAAAAAAAAAUUCACUCCUGGAAUAUAAUCUCAUAUACCAAGGGUUGGCUACAAAUGGAUCAUUAAUGUUGAUUUACGGUCUCUUCCCUCUCCUGCAUGAAAAUCUGUUCUAGCCUCUAAAUGAGGUCACUGCAAAGUAUUAAUAAUUAGGGGCAGAGGAAGGGAGAUAAAGCUCUUGUUUCAAAAGACUGUUAUAAAGAUUUUCUGAGGAGAAAGAAAAAGUAAUACCAGCUGGUCAAUGAAAAACAAAACAAAAAACUUUCUGUAAAUAACAGUAGAAAACUUGAAGGAAAAACAAGGAAGCUUCACAUUUUCAAUGUGUAUUUAUCAGGGGGGUGUCACUGGAAAAAAAAUGGAAAUCCAUGGCACAUGCCAAGCAUGAUGUAAGGAGCAGCAGUCCUUCUUGCCUAUCCUCCUGUUUCCAUAUUUACCAAAUUGAAAAACCACUUCUGCUUAUGUUGCUAUCUCUAAAACUUAAAAUGUCUUAAAAUCAGAUAACAGUGUCCAGAAUAAUCUAAAUAAUCAUGCUUCCUAUCCUGAACUGCGUCAGCCUCUUUUUUUUCUAUUCUAUCUCAUUGUUUGCCUCAUUCUUUUGCUGAACAUGUGUCUUUACUUAUCUCUGAAGGCCAGGGUGUGAGAGGGACAGAGCAGACUGGACAGCACCGAGAUCUGUAGCUGCAUCACAACAUUAGAGAAAGCUUUCUGCACUGGCUGUAGCCAAAGGGAGAGGCAACACAGGUUGAUUCAUGAUGGAAACUUUUCAGGCUGGCUUGCGUUUGUGGCACCCGCAGUGAUUCUGGUCUUGAUGAAGAUGCUACUGCAUUGCUUAAAAAAAGAAAUAAAGGCACUGAUAGCAUUUUAGAAUGAGAGAAAUACAGCUAAUGCAUCAGAGGCAGUCAAUUCUGUGCUGUGACUUUUGUCUUAUAUUUGGUUUGGAAUAAAUAGAUGGAGAUCUUGCUGCUUCUGUAACCUGACAUUUUCAGUGCAUUGAAGUUUCUGUAGAAAAAAAAGCAUGAACUGUAGCAGCUGUCACAUUGCAGAGACCAAGUGAUUGAGGACCUUAUAGUGCCUUGCCAGAUAGAUCCUGAUGCAUCGCUGAUGCUUUUUCCAUUAUAACAGAUAGCCACUAUCAGAAAUGAUACACAACCAAGAGGCAGCAUUUCAUGUCCUGGAUAACUGUUUCUUUUGCAGGAUGUGCUACUGGUUAUUUAGUGAAUAGGCACAGACACUCCUUUUCCCCCAGACACAUCUGAACCUUUUAAGAAGGUAAUUUUAAUAUUUAUCUGUAAGAUUAUAAUUUAUCUAGAGGGUGACAAAACAACACACAUUUGAAUAUUGUUCAUAUGGAAAGGUAUUAAUACAAAUUGAUAUCCUCAAAAUGCAACUGAAACUGUUAGAUGUCACCUUAACUGUUUCAAUUAGGUUCUGCAUACCCUGCUGCUGGGAAACAAUCAUGCUAUAAAGCUUUCAAAGAGGUGACUUCAGUUAUGUGUUAAGAAGUAAAUCAAACCACGGUUUUUAUCUGCUGCAUGCUAGAGGAAUUGUUAUUUGAACAUUUAUAGCUUUUAGAUUGUGAAAAUUUUAAUGACAGCAAUUGUCAUCUUGUGUCUAAGAGGUUUUGUAUCAAAGGAAGUCUGUUGCUAAAGUGAAUAGCUUUGAUGCAGCCACUGCAGAAAUCGGCAGCAAAGUGCAUCUUGUGAUUCAGAAGGGCUAUGACUGAAUAGACACAAAAAGUUAAACUAAACUAAACACAGAAAAGCAUUCUGCUAGUUGUGAGGAUUAAACAUCCCCUCACUCCUGCCCCCUCAAAACCAUAACAAGCCACCCAGAAAGCCCACUCAGAAAUAAAAUUAGAAAUAAAAUUAAUUAUGCAAAUUCAGUCAAGAACUCAAGAUAAAAAUUGUAGGCUAGUGGUAACUAGCGAAAUGAAUCUGUCUGGCUUUCCUCCUAGUUUAGGGCUUUGGGAUAAAGAGAGGGAAGUGAAGACACACCAUGACAGAUUAGAUGACUGGGAGACUUGCCCAUUGCCAAUAGUAAAAUUCUCCCUUCCGCCAAAGACAAGAUACUGUUUAGUGUCUUGCAUCAGAAACCUUUUUUGAGGAAAUGUUGAGGAAUUAUACUGCAGAUUAGCCACUCUUAUUACAGAGGGGAGCAGUUGAGCAAACCUAUUUUGUUCAACCUCAGUUGUUUCCUUUUCUAUAUAUUAUCUUGCUCUGUAGUUUUAUUUCUCUGUACUCUGCAUUGCACCAUAAGAGAAAAGGUUGGUGAGGCUGAGGUUGGGGGUAGGGAGGUAAGUAAGAGAGAUUGGAGGUGGCAUUCAGAAAUGUGAGUCAUGCAUGCAGGGAAAUACAGCAAAAAUUCGUCAUGAAUAACUUGAGUUACGUGACUCCAUAAAAUUUUAAGUUACAGCUGAAAUGGGGUGUAUUCACAUGCCUAUAUGAUUCCACAUAAGCUUCCACACCUGCCAUAGAUCUAUAUGCAGCCUUAGAUGCAGGUUGAUUACUGAUGUAUUGGGUGUGCUUUUUAAAUUUCAGGACAAAAUACCUCUGUUAUAUGCAGUGGAAUGAAAAUGCAUGUGUUUCUACUUACCAGAGGUGACAGCUAGUUUUGUGCAAAAAGGUCUUUAUUUAAACACUGAAAAGCUAUACAACAUUUCUCUUUGAAAUGGUAUUGUAUUAAUUUCUCAUAAUAUCCACCUUCAUAUAAUUGUGUUCACUUUAUACUGCCUUAGCCCUUUUUUGUAUUAUGUAAUAAGAAAGUUCAAUAUUCCCAGGAAGUCUUUAUACUGCUGGAUGUAAAAGUCUUGCUUUUAGGAGAUUAAUGACGCUCUCUUGAUUCUUCUUAGCCUUCCCUCCCUGCAGCUCUACACUUUCACAUAUUCAUCCAGCUUUUCCUUCCUUUGCCUAAUAUGAUAUCUAUAUCAAACACAGGGCAGCAGGACAGAUUUCUCUAUUCUUCAUAUUUCAGGAGCUGUGAAGUUUCCUUCUUUCUCUUCCCCCUUCUCUCUUUCUUCCUUCCUUGAUUCCUUCCUUCCUUCUUCCCUCUCUCGCCCCCUCCCUCUCUCCCUCCCCCCCUCCAUCCUUCAUUCCUUUUUUUCAUUCUCUACAGCCGACAGUUCUUUUUAUUACCGAAGGCAUCUCCCUGUUUCCCCAACAUAUAUAAACAAUUUCCUAAGAAGUAGAAAAGACUCUGAAUAGGUUUUAGAUACUUUUUACCUUUAAAGCUGUCUAAUUUUCUUCUCUUUUACACAGUUUAAAGGAUGACAUCCCUUUUCUGUUUGAUCUGGAGAUACUACAAAGAAAAUUGUGUACUGCAGUAUUUUGACAUGUAACUCCAAUAAGUGAAUUAUAUAAACAGAAGUGGGAGAGGUGGAGUUGGCAUUUUUAAUAGUUUGGGGGAAUAAGGUAUCUUUCAGAGCUACUGUGGAAAUUUUUUUUCUUUCUUCUUCCAGGGAAGAUUUAUGGCUUUAAACCCUUGUUGACCAAUGAUGCAAUAGUGACGUAACAGGCUUGAAGGGUGUCAUGACUUCUACAUAAAGUCUUGAAUUUGGUCUUCUCCAAGCCUUUUCUAUACAUCUGACAAAUUGUUCAAAUUUUGGUAUCAGUUUUCCAUAUGCUUUUUUCUUUUCUGCUUUUAAAGCUGUUUUUUUAUUUGACAUCAACCCAUUUCUUACACAUACCUCUUCAAAUGGCAAGAUUUCACCUUUGACAGUGACAAAGGAAGCAGAAUCACCAACUUUGAUCCAUACAUCAAGGUACUUAAAAUACAUCUGACUAUACCUAUGACUGUUGGUGAUAGUAGCAGAAUUCUGACAGGGACAUUUUGCAACGAGUUACAACAAUACCGAAAAUAAUGUCAACUAAAGCAAAAGUCAGGGAACAGGUUUUCAUGUUGUUGAAAAAAGGAGAAGUAGAGAGAAGAUCAUGCAAUAAAAAUUAUUAUAAACAUCUCUCUAAAAUUACCCACUUGAUAAAGACUGUGUUUGAGCCUAAAAAUUGUUGAUUAAGAGAUUCAUAGCUUUGUGCUGUAUUCAGCUGAUGAGGUGUAGAACUGUACAUCAUAUUUUUAAAAGAAGGGUAAACUUAAUUCUCCCACACCAAUUAAUGAAGGGAAAUGAGUCAAUAUAUUACUUUACAGGACAGUCAGGCCCUGAGGCUCCUGAGCAAUUCAGGGGUGACACCAUGUCAGGAUUCUGCAUGUGACCAGUGGCAGUACUGAGCUAAUAGGAGGACAUUAGGAAGAAGACAUCAGUAUUGCAUUUGAUAUACCCAUCAGAGGCCUUUCCAGCCUAUAUCCAUUCUUCACUGGAGUGGUAGGACUUGAGGAAAUGUCAGGAAGUACACGUGAACCACUUCUAAUGCUUCCUUAGCUGUCUUGGGAAUGUGGUAUAUAUCUUAUAGACAUGUAAAAUUUUGGUGUAUGAAGCCUAUAUGGCCAAAAAGAAUAUCAGACUAAUCUUAUUCACUUGAGAAAGGUCCCUUACAAAAAUGUAUUCAGAUGAGUUUGAAGCACCUUUAAAAUUGAAAUUACAGAGAGAAAGACAAAAAGAAAGAGCUGGAUCCAGUAUGUAGGGCUUGUCACCCAAGCAAAGCAGAGGCAGAAUAAAUAGGAAGUGCUAUAGCAGAAGAACAAAAAGCUACAAGAAUGAAUAAUAUCAAACAGGCUAAAAUAAAUCCUGUACAGAUGCUAUAAAGUGUUGGAUUGGCAGAGCUGAAGGAAUGGAGGACUCUGGUAUAUUUUACAUGAAGUUUGUUUGCUUCAGAGUGUUCUGCCUUUGGAAUUAGAUCUCAAGCACAUAAAUCCAUCUUUUCGUCCUCUAUCAGCUUCUUGUGAACACCUUUUUCACAGGUUGCUCCUUCUGGUUCAUGUUCUCUGCCUGUCUCAUCCUUUUGAGGCCUGCAAGCCUGAAUGACCAGUGCUAUAUCUUUUAUAGGAACUGUUGAAACUGGCCUCAGGCUAGCUUUUUUAUAUAGCCUGGAUCAUUGAAUGUAAGAGGUGAAAUUGGAUUGUGAACUUACUUCUGUUUCCUGAAAGAGUGUUUUGACUAUAGGGUUUUAACACAAGAAACAUGUUUAAAUAGAAAGCAAUGAUUCUUCCAUAUUUUGUUCCCAGCUGCCUAGUUUUAACAUUAAGUAUACUCAGAGCUCAGUGACUGCCCUCAAAACCCCACAGUCUCUGAUACCAGGAAGUCUCAUUUGGGAAUUUUGGAUUUAUUUAGGAAUAAGAUUAAAGUCACAUGUUCAGGUUAGCUACGAUUAUGGGACCAGUACCAGAAUUUUGCAUGCUUAAGUAAAUUUGAUUUGGAAAUAUGACAUGAAAAAGAGCAUUGAAAAUGAUGAAUUGAGGUUUUAUGGGUUAUUCUAUGAUAAUUAAGCAUUUAGAAAUGAGCUAACAUAAAAUAUGUGCCUCUUCAUCUUUGUAAAACUCAUCUCAGAUAGUCCUAAGAAAGAGCAUGUUCAAAAUGGAGGGAUAUUGAUUUGGUCUGAAAAGAACAUUCAUAAACUCACAAGGAAGAAGAAAAGAUUAGAGUCAUGUUAGAAAGCAUUUGUGAAUUACUCUAGAAGUACAUAGGAGGAUAUAAAGGCAAGAACACUCACAGAAACAGUCAGGUGAAGUUUUAGCUGGGAAGAAUUUGCCAACCGAUGUUUAGAACCAUGUUCUGAGGACCAGAUAAGUGAUCCACUGUGUUUCCAGCCACAAUGGCUUUUAGGUUUAAAAUUAAUGCAGUUAACCACGUGAUACAUCUGCCAGAAAUGUACACUACUAGUUCCUCUAAGAUCUAUGAUUUAUUAACAGGUGACUCUUCUCAUCAGACAACUAAAAAUUAUUGCUUAUUUUUUAGUGUUUCAUUUUGAGAAAUUCAGAAUACCUUGGCAUGAAGAGGAUGGUGAAGCAGUGUGCAUGGUAGAGAGACAUUUAGAACGGUCGUGACACAGGGACUUCUGGAACUCUGGUGAUGUGGGGCUAAAUCAAAAGAAACUUCUACGGGGAAAAUGAAAGGAAAUAAAACAAUUACAAAGUCAAGGAAAGAAAUGACAACCAUUUUCCCCAAAGAGCAAACCAAAAACUCUUCAGAGAUAUCACAUAUUUUCUCUUCUGAUUGCCCUACUGUGAUGACUGAAGAUCAUGGAGCUGA